rnacentral:rRNA from 1 species
GACGAACGCUGGCGGCGUGCCUAACACAUGCAAGUCGAACGGAACUGUUUUGAAAGAUUUCUUCGGAAUGAAUUUGAUUUAGUUUAGUGGCGGACGGGUGAGUAACGCGUGAGUAACCUGCCUUCAAGAGGGUAAUAACAUUCUGAAAAGAAUGCUAAUACCGCAUGACAUAUCGGAACCACAUGGUUUUGAUAUCAAAGAUUUUAUCGCUUGAAGAUGGACUCGCGUCCGAUUAGUUAGUUGGUGAGGUAACGGCUCACCAAGACCGCGAUCGGUAGCCGGACUGAGAGGUUGAACGGCCACAUUGGGACUGAGACACGGCCCAGACUCCUACGGGAGGCAGCAGUGGGGGAUAUUGCGCAAUGGGGGCAACCCUGACGCAGCAACGCCGCGUGAAGGAUGAAGGUUUUCGGAUUGUAAACUUCUUUUAUUAAGGACGAAAAAUGACGGUACUUAAUGAAUAAGCUCCGGCUAACUACGUG